GAAACUCGGUAAAAUGCAGCGGAAUAACUUCGACUGUAUCCGUGAAAAACCGAUCGUAGCUGAAUGACAACACCAUUUCCGGAAAAACAUUGUACGACAAAAUGGCGGACGAAACCAAACAAGUGACAAGGUUCGUGAGUGGUUCCAGGCGUGUGAUGACCCAGGGAUAUCAGCUAUUGACAGAUGCAGGAUGAUACAUAUAGGUAUAUAGGUUCAAGAAAUUCCUUCUGUCACUGGCUGAUUUGUCCGCUUCCCUCCUGUGGGUUUACAUGUGAACACGUCCAAAAUUUGUGGGGAGAGCAUUGUAAGACAAGAUCCAACCAGGACCACUUGUUUGAUGCCCCCAGUAGGCUCAUCCUGCGAGGAAACCGGUGAAGGUUAUGUCUAGUCUGCAUGAACCUGGUCUUGGAGCUACCACAAAGUCAAGGAAAGCAAGAUGAAGCGACUAAUAAGAGCUGGUCUUUCUGUUGCCGACUGUGAUGAACAGAUGUCAAAGUGUUGAAUCUGUUAUGUUUUUACAUAUGCACUUUCAUAAUGUGUAAAUAUGGGAAUGGUAAAGUUGGACAUGAUGUGAUGUUGUGUCUUACGUAAACAGAAAAUAAGACAUUUUUAUCUACUGAUUAUCAUUGGACAAAGAAAGUCAUAUUCAGAUUUGUCAAUGAAUAAAACACUUGAACUUCAUAUAUGGCUGUAAAUAUAUCUUUAUUACAAGUUAACAUGGUUGAUAAAAACAACAUUAAACAUAUCAUUGCA
rnacentral:lncRNA from 1 species